UACGGGGGGGGGCAAGCGUUGUUCGGAAUUACUGGGCGUAAAGGGCGCGUAGGCGGUUCGCUAAGUUGGAUGUGAAAACUCUGGGCUCAACCCAGAGCCUGCAUCCAAAACUGGCGGGCUAGAGUUCUGGAGGGGAUAGCGGAAUUCCUGGUGUAGCGGUGAAAUGCGUAGAUAUCGGGAAGAACACCCGUGGCGAAGGCGGUUCUCUGGGACGGUACUGACGCUGAGACGCGAAAGCGUGGGGAGCGAACAGG
rnacentral:rRNA from 1 species